UACGAAGGGGGCUAGCGUUGCUCGGAAUCACUGGGCGUAAAGCGCACGUAGGCGGCUUUCUAAGUCAGGGGUGAAAUCCUGGAGCUCAACUCCAGAACUGCCUUUGAUACUGGGGAGCUCGAGUCCGGAAGAGGUGAGUGGAACUCCGAGUGUAGAGGUGAAAAUUCGUAGAUAUUCGGAAGAACACCAGUGGCGAAGGCGGCUCACUGGUCCGGUACUGACGCUGAGGUGCGAAAGCGUGGGGAGCAACAGGAU
rnacentral:rRNA from 1 species